GCGGGGGUGGCGUAAUCGGUAGCCGCACGGGACUUAAAAUCCCGGGACAGAAAUGUCGUACGGGUUCAAGUCCCGUCCCCCGCACCA
rnacentral:tRNA from 1 species